CAGCACCUCUCCUCUGCGCACCUGGGGGCUGGAGGCUGGUGGAGCCGCCUCCCUCACACUGGGUGGUGAUCAAAGGCAUGUGUGGAGGCCCUGCUCUGCCCAGGUGUCUAUGCCAGAGCCGAGGGCCACAUAAGAGCACAGCCCCGCAGGACAGCGCCAGCUCCCGAGGUGGGGGUAGGUGGCCAGGACUGGAGGUGGGUGAUUUGAGGAAGCCACUGCCCUUUGAAGUCUCCAGGGUGUUCCGGUCAAUGCCCUGAAGGAAACAAGGCUGGGGCCAAAAUAACAAGGGGAGGAAGAGGCAGUAGAGCCAAGUCCUCAAGGCUGCCUGGCACACCCUUCCUGGUCAUGGCUUCCCAGGGCUCGGGCGGUGGCCGGGAGGCAGGGCAGCCACCAUGCCCCUCAGAGCCAAGCAGCCUCCCAAGGCCGCAGCAGGGCACCAGCUGGAAAGCAAGGGCCAGGCACUUGGGCUCUUAGCCCUGCCCAGAGGGCCUCAGACCCAGGGUUGUGAGGGAUUUGAAGGUGACCCCAGAGGGAAGCAGUGGCUGAGGCAGGGCCUCAGGCGCCAUGCUGCCCCCAGAGGGCAGUCCCCUGAGUGAGGACAGAGCCUGAGCCACAGGGCCCGCUCUUUGUCCCACCACCUGGAACAGAUGCCUCAGGAGCUCAAGACUAGAGAAGGGCUAGCCAGGUGUGCCACCCCUGCCCCCAGCCAUGCGCAGUCUCCUUUCUCAAGUGUGGCCACUUCACCUGAGGCUGAGCCAGUGAGCGCCGGGACAUGGCUCACCUGGCUUUGGUUGAGUAACUGAAGGAAGUGCCUCCACCUUCCUUCAGUCCUGGGUUUCUCAGCCCACUGGAAUCUCCAGGCAGCUGUGGGUUCCAAUGUGAUCGCCAGUAUGACAACACCUGAGUGGAAGAAGGAUCACGUCCCACAUUUGCAUCUGCUCAGAGCCCCUCUGCCUGACUUGGGGACAUGGGAUGACAGUCCUUUCAGGGGCUCCCUCCUCCGCCCAUGGAAUUCAAAGGAACCUCUUAGCUUCUGUGGGGCCAGAAAAUGGGAGUGGCUGGGCCCCUGGAAAGGGUAUGGGCCCAGGUCAUCAGUAGUUCCAGAAUCAGUUGCCCUGGCCAUGCCCCCCCAGUCUCGGGGUGCUGCCCGCCUCCGUGGGGCCACACAAGCUUCCUCCACUCCAAGCUCUGGCCUCAUGCUCUCCGCUGCACUUCCCUGGAGGCUCAGAGGUCACUAAGGUUCUAGUGGGCUGUUAAUCACAGGACCCCCUGCCCCCACCCUGUGGCUGAGUGGGUGACGCAGCUGAUCCAGCCAUGGUGUGCAUCCUCCUGCCCACAGUGGUUGAACUAGGGGACGGUACCCCAGUGGAGCAAAUCAGGAUCCAAUAUGAGAUUUGUCUUGGGGGUGUCAGUCAUCCCAAGAGCUAUGAAAACUACCCAAACUAUUCGGGAUGCACACCAGAAAAGGAAGCCACUCCAGAGGCAAGCAGAGGGAGAGGUGGAGAGAGGCAGGACCCUGACAACAUCCUGGGCUCACCCGAUCCAGCUGCACCUGAAGCUAAACCUCUUGGACUUCCAAGAUAUGUAGGCCCACAAUUUGUUGCCUAUUUGAGUUGAUUUGUCUGUCACAACUGAGGGAGUUGUGAAAUCCUCUUUCAACUCCCGUGGAGCAUUUGGGACAGCUCAGACCUUUGCACACACAGCCCUGGUUACUGUUUUUGUGCCUGGCGGAGAGACACACAUUCUCUUGGACCUGUGGCCCCUCCGUCUCACAGCCCCCUACCUCCAGCUCCUAAGCAGGGUGCUUCCCUGACCCCACUCCCAACCUGCAAAGGAGAGUUUCCCGGUUUUCUGACCCUCUCAGAACACCUUAAGCCAGGCUAGGCAGGGAAGAAGGCUUCCUCAGCUGGACCACCCAGGCGAGGGCCCCAGGAGGAGUGUUUUAUACGUCUGCAGAGCCGUGUGAGCUAAAUGAAAGACAAGCCACAGAACAACCUGGAUAUUCCUGUCCUUUUCAAGGGUGGUGGGAAAGCCUAGCUAACUGAAGAGCAGGUUGCGAGGUUCCUACCUGAACCCUCUUCCACCCCUGAGCCAGCCCUUGAUACUCUCUUUAAAAAUCAUUUUGUGGACAGUGCCUCCUGAGAGGGCUGAGUUGGUGGGUGUUGUGGCCCAAAGACUGGAGCACUCACUCUCUGAGGCCAGUCAUGGGUAAGCAGGCCGCCUGCACCCGGACCGCCCCCCUCACUGGGAUCCCAUUCAGCACGUGAGCUUGGGCAUCCAGAGAGGGGAAGCUGGCAGAGCCACAGUAGAGCCCGGGUCUGGGAUCCUCCCCCAGUAUAGAGAGGACAGGAAAGGAGACCCGAGGGGAGGGAAGAGGCGGGGGUCCUCCAGGGGGUCAGGGAGCUCAGGCCAAGGGAGAUGAAGCCAGCAGUGGUGCUGGGAGCCUGCAGCCAGCCACCCCCUCUCACUGAGGUCUCAGCACAGAGCAAGAGUGGGCUUCACCUUUCUUGAGUGUCCCCAGGCCUGAGUGUGGACCCUCCAGUGCCAGUAGUUCUUUCAAGCAGGUCACAUUUCUUCACUUUGCUGAAUGAAGAGCCACCAUUCCCUUUCCCCCACCCCCAAGCUCUAGUCAGCCAAACUCAGCUAUGGCUGACCACCCCUCAACCUUCCUGAAUGUGCUGGAACCCCAGGGAUACUGGGCAAUGUGGAAGGCGGUCUGGUCCCAGUCCUCUGGAGUGGCCAUCAGAGCUGAUGCUAAAGCAAACUGGAGGGGCUUGAGUGGGGCUGUUGAGGGCCAGGAAAUCGGGGAACUGAAGGAAUUGGGGCCUGAGGACGUGGGAGGUUGGGGCUAGGUACCAGGAUAACUAGACAUGGGGCUUGGGGUCUGGGGAGAUGGUCAGGAACUGAGUGGUAUAAGAUUCUUAGGGGGUCUGGGAAUCCUAGGAAUUGGAAACCAAGGGCACAUGGGAGAUGGGACCUGGGAUGUAAAAAAAAAAUUUAAGACUUUGAAUAAGCAGAGCAGAUUCCUGGUAUCUGGGGAAAGCUGUGCCCUGUUUAGGGCACGCCUCUCCCAGGUCUCCAGUUCAUGAGAUCAGUGCAUGUCUUUGUCUUUGAGAUAUUUUACAACUUUGUAGACAACUAAUAGCAAUGUAAAUAAUUACUUUCCAUAGAUUUGGAAAUAAAUUAAUGGUCAAUAGAUUUCCCUCCUCCAGUCACGGAAAAAGCUGGCUUUGCAUCCAUUUAAGUUACCCCUGUCACUGACAGCAGUGGAGCAAUGUUGGGCAUUGGUUUCAAAGUCUGACCAUUUGGUGAGCUCUGUAAUGGACCAAUGGUUUAUAGACAUCUAGUAUCUAUCGGAUGGGAAACAGUGGACAACCUGGGAGAAAGAAUCAACAAAUUGAAGAUAGUUCAGUUGAGAUUAUCCAGUCUGAGAAAGAGAAAGAAAAAAGAAGAAAAAUGAACAGAACCUCAGAGACCUGUGGAACACCAUCAAGCUCACCAAACAUACCUGUAAUGGGAGUCCCAGAGGAGAAGAGAGGAAGUAGCCAAAAGAAUAUUUACAGAAAUAAUGUCUGAAAUCUUCCCAAAUUUGAUGAACAUGUUAAUACACACAUCUAAGAAACUUAAUUCACUCCAAGUGGGAUAAACAAGAUAUCCACACCUAGAGACAUAAUAAUCAGGCUGCGAAAAGCCAGAGACAGAGAAUCUUAGGAACAGUGAAAGAAGGGGCCCAUCGUGUGCGCGUGGUCCUCAGUAAGACUAACAGCUCACCUUCGUCAGAGACCAGGGAGGCCAGAGGUGUAAUAUAACACGUUCAAAGUGCUGAGGGAAAACAAAUGUUGAUCAAGAAUUCUACAUUCAGGAUUCUGUGUUUUAUAACCAUCAAAUAUGAAGAGAAAUUAAGACAGUCCCAGAAAAUAAAGACUGAGAGAAGUUGUCACUAGCAGGCCUUCCUGGUGGGAAAUGUUAGAGGUAAUCCUUCAGACUGAAAUAAAAGAACAUUAGACGGUAAUUCAAAUCCACAUGAAGAAAUACAGAGUCCUGGUAGAGGUAACUGCAUAGGUAAGUACAAAAUUCAGUAGUAAUGCAUGUUUUUCUUGCAACUCUC